rnacentral:lncRNA from 1 species
UUGUAGCAAUUGUAUGGGAGGCAAAAAUGGAAGACUAAAACUGCUAUUUGACUGAGUAAGACAUAGGUGUGUCUUUCCAGGUACACUCUACACCAUUCUGCUCUGUGCUCUGAGAUACUGACUGUAUAGAGGGAGGUCUUCAAGUUACACAAAUUUAAGACCAAGCUCAUACUUCGGGAUGAAUUGGUAAAAGGAGAAGCUGAGAGCCCUGCUUAUCCACAAAGGAGGAAGUUCAGGAUAGAGAUUAGACCAAAGGACGAGAGAUGCUGAAACAACUGAGGAUGAAUGGACCAUUGUGCUAAAACUGGAAAAUGUGCAUCUAGGCUGAAAAUAGCAUAGGCAAUUACUACUUAUUGAAUAUUACCUAAAUCAUAACUCUCUCCAUUACACACCGUGCUUGCAUGAAUUUUCAAACACAGUUUACAUUUUAGCAUUCAUAGGAGUCACUGACAUGGCUAUGACAUAUCCUAAUUCACAUAAGCAUAUAAGUCUGUGAAUUUCUGAAGUGAAUGGAGAUUAAAUGAAACAACCCAACUUUUGAUUUCAAAGAAAAUGUAGCAGAAAAAAAUGACAAUGUGUUCCAAGUUUUGGUGAUUCUUUUAAAAGAAUAUUAAAUUGGAUUUUAGUUUCAAAUGGG